GCCCCCUUCGGGGGGCAUUUGGUCAAUUUGAAACGAUACAGAGAAGAUUAGCAUGGCCCCUGCACUAAGGAUGACACGCUACUCAAAGAGACGCUACCCAUUUUU
rnacentral:snRNA from 1 species